AGUGAUCAUGGCUCAGAUUGAACGCUGGCGGCAGGCCUAACACAUGCAAGUCGAGCGGAAACGAAGAGUAGCUUGCUACUCUGGCGUCGAGCGGCGGACGGGUGAGUAAUGCUUGGGAACAUGCCUUGAGGUGGGGGACAACAGUUGGAGACGACUGCUAAUACCGCAUAAUGUCUACGGACCAAAGGGGGCUUCGGCUCUCGCCUUUAGAUUGGCCCAAGUGGGAUUAGCUAGUUGGUGAGGUAAUGGCUCACCAAGGCGACGAUCCCUAGCUGGUUUGAGAGGAUGAUCAGCCACACUGGGACUGAGACACGGCCCAGACUCAUACGGGAGGCAGCAGUGGGGAAUAUUGCACAAUGGGCGCAAGCCUGAUGCAGCCAUGCCGCGUGUGUGAAGAAGGCCUUCGGGUUGUAAAGCACUUUCAGUCAGGAGGAAAGGUUAGUAGUUAAUACCUGCUAGCUGUGAUGUUACUGACAGAAGAAGCACCGGCU
rnacentral:rRNA from 1 species